UCCCUGGUGGCUCAGAGGGUAACGUGUCUGCCUGUAAUGCAGGAGACCCGGGUUCGAUCCCUGGGUCGGGAA
rfam:TPA: Bos taurus chromosome 8, whole genome shotgun sequence.